rnacentral:rRNA from 1 species
UACAGAGGGGGCAAGCGUUGUUCGGAAUUACUGGGCGUAAAGGGCGCGUAGGCGGCCGCCUAAGUCAGACGUGAAAUCCCUCGGCUCAACCGGGGAACUGCGUCUGAUACUGGGCGGCUUGAAUUCGGGAGAGGGAUGCGGAAUUCCAGGUGUAGCGGUGAAAUGCGUAGAUAUCUGGAGGAACACCGGUGGCGAAGGCGGCAUCCUGGACCGACAUUGACGCUGAGGCGCGAAAGCCAGGGGAGCAAACAGG